UACGAAGGGGGCUAGCGUUGCUCGGAAUCACUGGGCGUAAAGCGCACGUAGGCGGAUUGUUAAGUCAGGGGUGAAAUCCUGGAGCUCAACUCCAGAACUGCCUUUGAUACUGGCGAUCUUGAGUCCGGGAGAGGUGAGUGGAACUGCGAGUGUAGAGGUGAAAUUCGUAGAUAUUCGCAAGAACACCAGUGGCGAAGGCGGCUCACUGGCCCGGUACUGACGCUGAGGCGCGAAAGCCAGGGGAGCAAACGGG
rnacentral:rRNA from 1 species